rnacentral:rRNA from 1 species
AUGAUUUGCGCAAUCUCCGGCGAGGUGCCGGAGGACCCGGUCUUGUCGACCAAGUCGGGGCUGCUCUUCGAGCGGAGGCUCAUCCAGCGCUACGUCGAGGACCAUGGGAAGUGCCCGGUCACCAAGGAGGAGCUCGCCAUGGACGACCUCGUGACGGUGAAGACCGACAAGAUUCCUAAGCCUAGACCUCUGCAAGCUGCAAGUGUCCCUGGACUCCUUGGUAUGUUUCAGAAUGAGUGGGAUGCUCUCAUGCUGUCUAAUUUUGCUUUGGAGCAGCAGCUACAUACAGCAAGACAAGAGCUCAGUCAUGCGUUAUACCAGCAUGAUGCUGCUUGCCGUGUUAUCGCCAGACUAAAGAAGGAAAGAGAUGAGUCUAGGACACUUUUGGCUCAAGCUGAAAGGCAGAUUCCUAUUUCAGCUGCAGGACCUGCGCCUGUAGCUGCUGUUACAAAUGGGAAAAGAGCUUUGGAAGAUGAAGUGGGUCCUGAUGGGAAGAAGAUACGUCCUGGUAUUAAUCCUGUCAUGAUCGAUGAAUUAACAGAAUGCAAUUCCGUGCUCUCAGCACAGCGCAAGAAACGGCAGGUACCUCCAAGUUUGGCACCAAUUGAUGCACUUGAAAGAUAUACUCAAAUCUCCAGUCAUCCACUUCAUAAGACAAACAAACCAGGGAUUUUAUCUAUUGAUAUUCAUCAUUCAAAGGAUAUUAUUGCUACUGGGGGUAUCGAUACAAACGCAGUUCUUUUUGAUAGGCCAUCGGGUCAAGUCUUGUGCACUCUCACUGAUCACUCAAAGAAGAUUACAAGUUUGAAAUUUGUUCCCCGGGAUGAGCUUUUGAUAACCGGAUCAGCAGAUAAGACUGUCCGUGUAUGGCAAGGCAAUGAAGACGGAAGUUAUGGUUGCAGGCACACAAUGAGAGAUCAUGGUGCAGAGGUUGAAGCUGUGACGGUCCAUGCUAGUCAGAAAUACUUUGCAACUGCCUCCAGAGAUAGCACAUGGUGCUUUUAUGAUAUUUCAACAGGGUCUUGCCUCACACAGGUUGGCGAGGCUUCUGGACAAGAUGGAUACACAUCAGCAGCUUUCCACCCGGACGGUCUUAUACUUGGAACAGGCACGUCAGAAGGUGUUAUCAAAAUUUGGGAUGUAAAAUCUCAGACAAGGGUUGCAAAGUUUGAAGGGGAGGUCGGGCAUGUUGGAACAGUGACUGCUAUGUCCUUCUCAGAAAAUGGAUAUUUCCUAGCGACCGCAGCCCUUGAUGGUGUCAAGCUUUGGGAUCUACGAAAAUUGAGGAAUUUUAGGACCCUGUCUCCAUACGAUCCAGACACACCAACAAGUUCUGUGGAGUUUGACUUUAGUGGAAGUUAUAUCGCCGUUGCUGGUUCUGAUAUAAGGGUUUACCAAGUGGCCAAUGUCAAGACGGAAUGGAAUCUUGUCAAGACAUUACCAGAUUUAUCCGGCACAGGGAAAGUGACAUCGGUGAAGUUUGGGGCAGAUGCUAAGUAUGUGGCCGUAGGUUCCAUGGACCACAACCUGCGCGUGUUCGGGCUCCCUGGAGAUGAGCAGAUGGAGGUGGCAAAAUGA